rnacentral:tRNA from 2 species
AGCGGAAGUAGUUCAGUGGUAGAACAUCACCUUGCCAAGGUGGGGGUCGCGGGUUCGAACCCCGUCUUCCGCUU